CACAGCUGAGCACAAUGUAGGCGCUCUAAGACUAAUGAAAGAAUCAAAUCAGGUGUGUGAGUGAUUCAGCAAGAAGUUGAAUUAGAGCCAGCUGCUUCGUCUGAGUUGGGUUAAGUCAGAGGGGGAGGGUUGAUAUUGGGUAAUCAGAACAAAACGAGCUGGAGGGCCAGCCACCUGCUUAGUCGGAGUAAGAAUGCCUGCAGAGACCUGGACCAGAGUGGGCAGAAUGGAGAUGGAGUCUCACUCUGCCGCCCGAGCUGGAGUACAGUGGUGUGAUCUCGGCUCACUGCAACCUCCACCACCUGGGUUCAAGCGAUUCUCCUGUCUCAGCUUCCCGAAUAGCUGGGACAACAGGGCCUAAAUAGUGUUCCUUGGAGAGAAAAUUACCCUGGGAAUGAAUAAACAAGAGCAAUGCAAAUGUUUCUUUUACAUUAGAUUCUUGCAGCCCUGGAAAUCCUAAAUAAUAAUCAUGGCAAUACUACAUUUAUAAGACUAAAAGAUAGGAACUCAAGAAAAAUUUGGUCAUAGCAGUUGGUGAAAAAGUGAAUUUAAGAGAAGUGACAAAAAGAACUACUUGGG
rnacentral:lncRNA from 10 species